UACGGAGGAUGCAAGCGUUAUCCGGAAUGAUUGGGCGUAAAGCGUCCGCAGGUGGUAAUGUAAGUCUGCUGUCAAAGCGUCUGGCUCAACCAGAUAAAGGCAGUGGAAACUACAUAGCUAGAGUAAGGUAGGGGUAGAGGGAAUUCCUGGUGUAGCGGUGAAAUGCGUAGAGAUCAGGAAGAACACCGGUGGCGAAAGCGCUCUGCUGGACCUAAACUGACACUGAGGGACGAAAGCUAGGGGAGCGAAUGGG
rnacentral:rRNA from 1 species